rnacentral:rRNA from 1 species
UGUCUCCUAAAUAGGGACUAGUAUGAACGGCUAAACGAGGGUUAACCUGUCUCCUUAGACCAAUCAGUGAAACUGAUCUGCCAGUACAAAAGCUGACAUAGCAACAUAAGACGAGAAGACCCUGUGGAGCUUUAGACUGACAGCCAAACCAAAACCACCCCACCUCACCCCAUGGCUAAAAGUCUUAAGUUGGGGCGACUUCGGAGCAAAACAAAACCUCCAAGCAACAGAACAUCCAUCUUCCCUAAGGCAAACACGCCAAAGCAAACAACAGACCCAGUACCACUGACCAUCGAACCAAGUUACCCCAGGGAUAACAGCGCUAUCUUCUUCAAGAGUCCAUAUCGACAAGAAGGUUUACGACCUCGAUGUUGGAUCAGGACACCCAAAUGGUGCAGCCGCUAUUAACGGUUCGUUUGUUCAACGAUUAACAGU